rnacentral:rRNA from 1 species
UACGGGGAGGCAGCAGUGGGGGAAUAUUGCACAAUGGGCGCAAGCCUGAUGCAGCCAUGCCGCGUGUGUGAAGAAGGCCUUCGGGUUGUAAAGCACUUUCAGUCGUGAGGAAGGUGGUAGUGUUAAUAGCACUAUCAUUUGACGUUAGCGACAGAAGAAGCACCGGCUAACUCCGUGCCAGCAGCCGCGGUAAUACGGAGGGUGCGAGCGUUAAUCGGAAUUACUGGGCGUAAAGCGCAUGCAGGUGGUUUGUUAAGUCAGAUGUGAAAGCCCGGGGCUCAACCUCGGAAUAGCAUUUGAAACUGGCAGACUAGAGUACUGUAGAGGGGGGUAGGAAUUUCAGGUGUAGCGGUGAAAUGCGUAGAGAUCUGAAGGAAUACCGGUGGCGAAGGCGGCCCCCUGGACAGAUACUGACACUCAGAUGCGAAAGCGUGGGGAGCAAACAGGAUUAGAUACCCUGGUAG